AAAAGCAGCUGUUCGCCACCGGUGCCGACGCCUUCGAGGACCAGUUUGACCUGGGAUCCGAUGCUGGU
rnacentral:ribozyme from 1 species